rnacentral:rRNA from 1 species
AGUGAACGCUGGCGGUAGGCCUAACACAUGCAAGUCGAACGGCAGCACAGUAAGAGCUUGCUCUUGCGGGUGGCGAGUGGCGGACGGGUGAGGAAUACAUCGGAAUCUACUUUUUCGUGGGGGAUAACGUAGGGAAACUUACGCUAAUACCGCAUACGACCUACGGGUGAAAGCAGGGGAUCUUCGGACCUUGCGCGAUUGAAUGAGCCGAUGUCGGAUUAGCUAGUUGGCGGGGUAAAGGCCCACCAAGGCGACGAUCCGUAGCUGGUCUGAGAGGAUGAUCAGCCACACUGGAACUGAGACACGGUCCAGACUCCUACGGGAGGCAGCAGUGGGAAUAUUGGACAAUGGGCGCAAGCCUGAUCCAGCCAUACCGCGUGGGUGAAGAAGGCCUUCGGGUUGUAAAGCCCUUUUGUUGGGAAAGAAAAGCAGCAGGUUAAUACCCCGCUGUUCUGACGGUACCCAAAGAAUAAGCACCGGCUAACUUCGUG